UACGUAGGGUGCAAGCGUUAAUCGGAAUUACUGGGCGUAAAGCGUGCGCAGGCGGUUAUGCAAGACAGAUGUGAAAUCCCCGGGCUCAACCUGGGAACUGCAUUUGUGACUGCAUGGCUAGAGUAUGGUAGAGGGGGAUGGAAUUCCGCGUGUAGCAGUGAAAUGCGUAGAUAUGCGGAGGAACACCGAUGGCGAAGGCAAUCCCCUGGACCUGUACUGACGCUCAUGCACGAAAGGCGUGGGGAGCAAACAGGAUUAG
rnacentral:rRNA from 1 species